GAUCAUGGCUCAGAUUGAACGCUGGCGGCAGGCUUAACACAUGCAAGUCGAACGGUAACAUAAAGAAGCUUGCUUCUUUGAUGACGAGUGGCGGACGGGUGAGUAAUGCUUGGGAAUCUAGCUUAUGGAGGGGGAUAACUACGGGAAACUGUAGCUAAUACCGCGUAGUAUCGAGAGAUGAAAGUGUGGGACCUUCGGGCCACAUGCCAUAGGAUGAGCCCAAGUGGGAUUAGGUAGUUGG
rnacentral:rRNA from 1 species